rnacentral:rRNA from 4 species
UGAAAUCAAGUAGGAUUACCCGCUGAACUUA